rnacentral:rRNA from 1 species
AACGAACGCUGGCGGCAGGCGUAACACAUGCAAGUCGAGCGCCCCGCAAGGGGAGCGGCAGACGGGUGAGUAACGCGUGGGAAUCUACCCAUCUCUACGGAAUAACGCAUGGAAACGUGUGCUAAUACCGUAUACGUCCUUCGGGAGAAAGAUUUAUCGGAGAUGGAUGAGCCCGCGUUGGAUUAGUUAGUUGGUGGGGUAAAGGCCUACCAAGGCGACGAUCCAUAGCUGGUCUGAGAGGAUGAUCAGCCACACUGGGACUGAGACACGGCCCAGACUCCUACGGGAGGCAGCAGUGGGGAAUAUUGGACAAUGGGCGCAAGCCUGAUCCAGCCAUGCCGCGUGAGUGAUGAAGGCCCUAGGGUUGUAAAGCUCUUUCACCGGUGAAGAUAAUGACGGUAACCGGAGAAGAAGCCCCGGCUAACUUCGUGCCAGCCGCCGCAGUAAAAC